GCCGCUUUCGCACAACUGGUAGUGCUCCUGGCUCAUAACCGGGUAGGUGCAGGUUCGAGCCCUGCAAGCGGCA
rnacentral:tRNA from 1 species